GACCUUGUAAUAAGGAAGAAUUCACGUAUGGAAGGAGGAUGCCUGAAUGAGCAGACUAACUGGUGACUGAAAUUAGAAAACCCUUCCAAUCAGUGCAAGACUAUAAUUCAUUUCUUGGCCACGGAGUCACUUCCAAGUUCCUAGAAUAAAGAGAUUAAGAUUCAGAGUCAUUAAAAAACCCAUAUUCAGCAUUUUUCUAUAAAUUUUUAUAUGAAGAGCCUAAUAAUAAUCAUGCUUAUUGUCCCUCAUUUCAUCAGAUUUUUAAUCUGAUAUCAAGAGAGAGAAUUAUUUAGUCAAUGAAGUGCAAAUAUCAAAAAGUCUAAGCAUAGAAGAAACUCUUUCUCAGUGGAAUUUACUGAGAGAAGGUAGAAAAGUGUAGAGAUUAGUUGUGGUUUGGGGAAUAGGGAUCUCUAUCCUUCUACUCAUUUCUGCCUCCCACCCCUGCCCUGACUUUGUUCUUUAUUGAGCAAACAGGGUUUUAUUUUUAGGACUCCAGGUAAAUGGAAGACACACUGUUAACAGAUG
ensembl:lncRNA